rnacentral:rRNA from 1 species
ACGGAAGGCAGCAGUGGGGAAUAUUGCACAAUGGGGGAAACCCUGAUGCAGCAACGCCGCGUGAAGGAUGAAGGUCUUCGGAUCGUAAACUUCUGUCCUUGGGGACGAAAAACGACGGUACCCUUGGAGGAAGCCACGGCUAACUACGUGCCAGCAGCCGCGGUAAUACGUAGGUGGCAAGCGUUAUCCGGAUUUACUGGGUGUAAAGGGCGCGUAGGCGGGGAUGCAAGUCAGAUGUGAAAUCCAUGGGCUUAACUCAUGAACUGCAUUUGAAACUGUAUCUCUUGAGUGCUGGAGAGGUAGAUGGAAUUCCUUGUGUAGCGGUGAAAUGCGUAGAUAUAAGGAGGAACACCAGUGGCGAAGGCGAUCUACUGGACAGUAACUGACGCUGAGGCGCGAAAGCGUGGGGAGCAAACAGGAUUAGAUACCCUGGUA